AUGAAAGCUUUCCUUCAGCUUGUUUUCUUUUCAGCAGUUUUUAGAGGCAUCCAAUCAGAGGUCCAACUGGUAGAGUCUGAAGGAGACAUAAAAAAACCUGGAGAGUCCCUUCGCCUUACCUGUCGAGCCUCCGGGUUCACCUUUAGCAGCUAUCGCAUGAACUGGGUGAGACAAGCUCCAGGAAAGGGCCUGGAAUGGGUGGCCUAUAUAAGUACAGCUUCAACUCCCAUUCACUACUUGGAUUCCGUCAAAGGAAGAUUUACCAUUUCCCGAGAUGAUUCAAACAGCCAGCUGUAUUUGCAAAUGAACAACCUUAAACCUGAGGACACAGGCGUGUAUUACUGUGCAAGAGACACAGUGAGAGACUUCCCAUUAGACCUUAGACAAAAACUCUUCAUUGCAUUCCAUUAG